GCCUGAGUAAGAAAGCGGCAGAUCCUCUGGUUUGCCAGACAUACUUUUCUGGUUGCUCACAUCUCUAGUGUCACAACAGGAGCCAGGUAAAAUAACUCAGAUUUUGGUUUCUCUGUUUUUCCUCUCCUCCUCACCCCCUCCUACUGUCUCUCUUCGCACUCCCUACCUUAUAUAUGGCAUCUGGACACUUGGGAUGAUUUGAGUCAGUUAAUGUUUGAAAUAUAAUACUGAGUUGAGCAAAAGUUCACGAGAGUGCAACCUGUUCUUGGUCCAUGAGUGCACAGGGACUGAAAUACAGCAGGAGAGAAGCAGAACUGGGAAGUAGUGGGUCUGAUAUGCCCCAGUGCUAAGGUAGCCUCUGCUGCUCUGCUGGCUUCAGUCUCAAGGAGUGGCCAGUUACCCUAGGCUGAUGCUUCCUCCAUACAGAAACCUAGGUAUAUAAAUUGCCAUUUAAAUAAAUUUUCAAAAUGUUAAACUCAUUUGCCAGGACACUGAGAUAAACCUGCUUUUGGGAAUUAUAUUUCGGUGUGCCUGGGAGCAGAAAGGUGAGUUGCAUUUUCUCGCUGCCUCGCUUCCUUCCUUCCUCCCUCCCUCCUCCCUCACUCCCACCAUCCCUCCGCCUUCCCUCGAUCAAUAUUGGCGAUCUCAGGGAAAUCAUGAAAUCGUAUUGGCUUCUUUGUGUAUAAUUUCAUUGGACUAGAAUUAAAGCAGAUUUUUCACGUUGUUUUUAUAAUGGUGGUUUGAGGUUUUAUGUUUCAACCCAAAAUCCAUUUAAAAGGAAAAUGGAUGUGCUUGUUUAGUGAGCACCCUAAUUUUUACUGAAUUAGGUUUGGAUGCCCUUUUCUCUUUCUUUCUAAAAAGGAACAAUAUUUGUUUUUUACUUCAAGACAAUUUUUGGAGUAUCAAUACUAAUACGAUUUUCAAGUAUUUUUUGAAAUAUUUUUGAUGUUUCUUUCUCUAUAGUUCUUUAAGAAAAUAUAAGGGAAAGUGGCUUUCUAACUGCCCCUUGUUUAGCAUCCAUACUUUAACCUUAAGAAGUUCUGCAACUUGGAAUUUUUUCUUUUAAUUUGAAGUUACACUCCUCUUCUCCCCCCUCCCCACCAGCAUUUGAUUUACAAACACACUGUAUAGAAAUGUGGUAUGAUAAGUGCUAAUUCACGGCUAUUAGAAUCUGGACAAACAGUUGUACCAAGCAUUAUAUCAGGACCUGGAUAUUCACUUAGCAUGCCACAUUCACAGGUCCAAUUUUCUUGAAGAUCAGAAACUUAAAUGGGUCAAAAGAAGCAUGAAAAUAAAAUGCAGCUUCGACAACAAGACUAUUAUAGGCUAUUGCACUGUAAAAGAAAAACAUUCUGAACUUGAGUUAGCAAUUGCAGGAAAAUAACUAUUUACUAUCGGAGUUUUUCGUAUGUGUUUUCCACAAUAAAAUUGUUUUUAGGUAUAGAGAGACACACACAGAGAGGUGAACAUUCAAUUAAAAGAGAUACUUUAUAAAUUAUUCACGGAAAAAGAUAAACAGACCACAAGUAAACCCAAUCUGCAUAAGGGGCCCAAUAUCUUUGUUUUUACUAUACAACAGUAACCACGACCCAAAUCUAGGGUAGAGGAGAGCUGCUAAUUUCUACCCCAAUGCUCGAAAUCUUGUCAGGUUUUGUGUCAGGGUAGAACACAUUUAUGCUACAACUAGGUUAUCAGAGCAAUACACACACAAAAAAACAUAAUGGUGGGUUGAUUUGGACUAUUUUAUUUUUGUCCUUCCCCAAACCAUCUGGCGUGUUAGUGUAGGGGUAUUGAUCAGGGAUCUGUGAGCUGCAGACCCCAUGCCAAUCCAUAGCGUUUCUGGCAAUCAGCGUCGCCCAUGAAUUGCAGCUGUCUGUGCAGCUCCUCAACAGAAAUCUUCAAAAAAAAAAAAAAAUUUCCCUCCCUUAUCAAACACAUCAUCCGUUCGGGGGUAAGUCAAUAUCAUUUCUUUGUCAUU
rnacentral:lncRNA from 1 species